rnacentral:lncRNA from 1 species
GCUAACUCAAUCCUGGAUUGAUGGAUAGAGGUAGGAGGUUCUUAGGUGGAGAAGUGAGACUCUUGGGUCGGGGAAAGCUUUGAGCCAGGGCCGAAAGGACGCCUACCAUCCUUAGAAGUAUCUACAGAUUGUUGCAAAGUCUUCCCGUGGAUAAUUCUUACCCAUAUGACCAAUGAUACUACAUAACAAGCAGAAAUCCAGUA